rnacentral:rRNA from 1 species
GAUGAACGCUGGCGGCGUGCCUAAUACAUGCAAGUCGAGCGAACAGAUAAGGAGCUUGCUCCUUUGACGUUAGCGGCGGACGGGUGAGUAACACGUGGAUAACCUACCUAUAAGACUGGGAUAACUUCGGGAAACCGGAGCUAAUACCGGAUAACAUAUUGAACCGCAUGGUUCAAUAGUGAAAGGCGGCUUUGCUGUCACUUAUAGAUGGAUCCGCGCCGUAUUAGCUAGUUGGUAAGGUAACGGCUUACCAAGGCAACGAUACGUAGCCGACCUGAGAGGGUGAUCGGCUACACUGGAACUGAGACACGGUCCAGACUCCUACGGGAGGCAGCAGUAGGGAAUCUUCCGCAAUGGGCGAAAGCCUGACGGAGCAACGCCGCGUGAGUGAUGAAGGUCUUCGGAUCGUAAAACUCUGUUAUCAGGGAAGAACAAAUGUGUAAGUAACUGUGCACAUCUUGACGGUACCUGAUCAGAAAGCCACGGCUAACUACGUG